CUAUAGUAAGCUACUGAGUUUCCAUGCCUAACUUUGAUCAUCCGUCUUAUUUGAAAUUUUUUAAAAAAAUUUAAAAAUAUAAGUCACGUAUAAAGUACUAUUCAUGUUUUAUCAUCAAAUUGAAAUAAGACGAACAAUUAAAGUUAGGUGUAGAAACUUAUGGUUGCAUUUAAA
rfam:Oryza barthii chromosome 1, whole genome shotgun sequence.